CACACAAAAGGACAACGCUGUGAGAACACACGGUGAGAGGAUGGCCGUCUACAAGCCAGGAAGCGGGCCCUCACCAAGAGUGGAAUCUGCCAGCACCUUGAUCUUGGACUGUAACUUAGCGGUUACCUAGUGCUGUGCAGAAAACGAGCCCAGAACUGGUGGCUUUAAACAACCAGUCAUUGCUUCUCAUGAAAAAUAAUUGUUUCUUGUGUUUCUAAGGUCAGCUGGCUGAUUCUGUUGAUCUGGGCUAGGAUCAGUGAGUCUAGCUGGGCUCACUUAUGUGCCUGCCAUCAGCUAAUGGGCCAGCUGGGGCCUGGUCUGGGGUGGCCACAGCUGAGGACAUAGCUCUGGUCCGCGUGGUGUCAUCCUCCAGGAGGCUGGCUCACGCUUGGGAUGAACGUGGAGAUGGGGAUCCAGCGAGAGAUGUGAAGCCUCUUGAAGCUUCACCCCUUGAUGAAAAGCUGCAAAGGAACAUGAAUGCAGGAGGCUGACUGAACCCAUCACUGCAGGAGACACAAAGAGGUGAUGGCCAGGUAAAGACAGAGGCAGAGACUGGAGUGAUGUGGCCACAAGCCAAGGAACACCAGGAGCCUCCAGAGGCUGGAAGAGGCAGGAAGGAUCCUCCCCUAAAGCCUUAGGAGGGAACACAACCCUACCAACACCUUCAUCUCAGACUUCUGCCCUCCGGACUGUGAGGGAAUCAAUUUCUACUGUUUGAAGAUGCACAGUGUGUAAAACAGUGAUGGCUGUCCUCACAGGAAGUCUGGAGUCUUUGGAUGAGAAGCAUUAAAUAAUCAGAAUAACCACUGACUCUUAUCAAGAGCUUUCCAUGUGCCAGGCUGAGGACUUCACAGCCACUCUUGUUUCAUCCCACUACAACCCACUGAAUGAGGUAGGCACUGCUAUCCCUAUUUUACAGAUAAGGAUAUUUAGGCAAAGAGAGGUUAAGUCACCUGCUGGAGGUCACACGGCUAGUGAAAGGAUGGCUGGGGCUUGAACCACACUUUGUCGAGAUUUUACGACCCAGGCUCCUAAACCCAGUGCCUGGGCAGGUCCUAUUGCUAAUGGGCCAUUUCUGUCCUGGCCACAAUAGGUUAAUGAACAAGAUGGAGAAAGAAACCAAGCCAAGGAGCUUCCAGCCCUGGGGUCUGGGGAAAUUUAGAAGCCAAGAGCUUGGCAGCGCUUCCUUGGAUUUUUAACCCCAAGCCUCCCAAAGGUAAGAAGAAUGGCUACUGAUUGAUGAUGCUCCAACAUGGGCCCCAGGGACCUCCAGCACAGAAGAACAACAGCAGAUGCCACUGUGGUCACCUGCUGCUCCUGUGGCCCAGCUCCCUUUGUCCAUUGGGUGACUGGCCCUCCCCUACUCCACUGUUGGCUUCUGGAGGGAAUGUCGAUCACAGGACCCCCAGCCUCUUGGCCAGUAUGGCCACAAGAGUGAGCACGUGACUUGCCCAGGGCCAGUCAGAGCCUUCUCUGGGAUUUGAGAUGGAAAGAGUCUCUUUCUGGCUUAGAGAUUGAGAGCCCUGUGGUUGUAGGCUAGGGGCUGCUGGCAGCCACCUUCCCCUGCAGGUGGAGAAGAGGACAGGCCAGCAUGCAAAGUGAUGCAGAACCAAGAGGCCUGGGUGAGGCUAAGGAUCAGCACAUGAGCCUGAGGACACUGGGCUCCUGGAUGCGGCCGUACCUGGAGCAAGCAAGCACCACCCUCGGCCAUCCCAGUUACAGGAGCCAGGGAAUUCCCUUUGUUGCUUAAACCUGUUUGAGCUGGGGCUUUCCCGAGGGAGGGAGGAGAGCAAGCUCUCAAAAAGAGAGAGCUGAGGCUCCUUAUCGCUGCUGCUAAGUCUGGACGGCUGAUAGCCGACCUUCCUCUCUGGAAUCAGCAGAUCCAGGUACCACUUGUCAAAAGCCACUUAUAACCUCAAGUGAAGGAAAGGCUUCUCCACCCUUCACUGGGGGCUAGUCCUAGACACUAAGUGUGCGGGGAGUGCCAGGGCAGCUUACCCCAAAAUGCUUCUAGUUUGUAGAGACAAGCUAGAAAUUCACCUAAAGAUAGUUGAAAAUACCGCAGAUUGCUCCCAGCGAUAAACGCCUGGUGACAUGGGAGCAAUUAGUUUUAAGAAUGUCUCCAAUCUUCCUCCCUCUCUCUCUCCCUCGUGCAUGUACACAUACACCUUAAUGCAGGAUGCAGAGUUUGGGAUUUUGUUCCUAUAUCUGAGAAGUGAACUGAAAACCUUAAGGGUGGGCAAGGCUCCCCCUCUGUGGGGAGAAGGGGUUCUCUGAGGAUGGCUCCUUCCCUCUACUCCAGGUAUGGGGUUGAGGGUGGCGUGGAAGUAGGUCCUUGCCCCAUCAUGCCAAGCUUGCAUGGAGGUGACAUCCCCGUGGUUGUGAACUCACCCCUUGGGCAAGGCCCAGCGACUCUGGGUGUCAGCCAGAGACAACCCCAACUGUAAGCAAAGCUGUGAGAUGAAAGUUAAC